GCGCAUCGCACGGGAGAAUCUGCACCCGCAGUGCCGAAGGAGCAACCGCCCCGGUAAACUCUCAGGCCCAAGGACCGUGUGACGAUA
rnacentral:ncRNA from 2 species